AACGCACCUUGCACUCUUUGGUAUUCCGAAGAGUAUGUCUGUUUGAGUGUCAUGAACUCUUCAACCUAAUAGUAUUUUAUAUACUGCUAGGCUUGGUUUCUGGGGUGUACUCUUUAUGGAGUUGCCCCGUAAUGCAUUAGCCAAACUCAAUUCAUCUCGAAAUUGACUCUGUGUAAUAGACUAUUCGCAGAGGAGAGAUCAUGAGUUGGCUACUAAUCAACUUAGGUCCAUUUUAAUUUAGACCUCAAAUCAGAUAGGAUUACCCGCUGAACUUAA
rnacentral:misc_RNA from 1 species